UACGUAGGUGGCAAGCGUUGUCCGGAUUUAUUGGGCGUAAAGCGCGCGCAGGCGGUCCUUUAAGUCUGAUGUGAAAUCUUGCGGCUCAACCGCAAGCGGUCAUUGGAAACUGGGGGACUUGAGUACAGAAGAGGAAAGCGGAAUUCCACGUGUAGCGGUGAAAAUGCGUAGAGAUGUGGAGGAACACCAGUGGCGAAGGCGGCUUUCUGGUCUGUAAACUGACGCUGAGGCGCGAAAGCGUGGGGAGCAAACAGG
rnacentral:rRNA from 1 species